UGGGUGAUCUGCCCUGCACUUUGGGAUAAGCCUGGGAAACUGGGUCUAAUACCGAAUACACCCUGCUGGUCGCAUGGCCUGGUGGGGGAAAGUCUUUGACGGUGUGGGAUGGGCCCGCGGCCUAUCAGCUUGUUGGUGGGGUGAUGGCCUACCAAGGCGACGACGGGUAGCCGGCCUGAGAGGGUGUCCGGCCACACUGGGACUGAGAUACGGCCCAGACUCCUACGGGAGCA
rnacentral:rRNA from 1 species